rnacentral:lncRNA from 1 species
CGGCGUUGAUUGCAUCCCAGUCUUUCUCCCCAUCUCUAAGUGCUUCCCUCUGCACACCAGCUUCAGUGUCUCAGGCCAGUUUCCUCCAUAAGGCUGGGGUCACAUCUUUUCAGCUUUACCCCCAGAAAGGGAAAGGGUACCUUCCUUUAUUUCAUUUUGAAAAUACUCUCAAAGGGGCCCCCAGUUGACCUGGCUGGGUUGUGUGCCCACUCCUGUAAGCCAGACAGGUGGGACCACUGUGAUGGACCCGUUCUUUCAGAACUGCAUGGUUAGAGUUGUGGGAAGAACAGUUUCCCACAGACGGGGAGUCCUUAUAAGAAGAGGAGACAGAUGGAGAGCAGAUGAAGCAGGUGGCACAAAGCAGAGUGUCUUCCCUGCUUUGGGCUGAGGAGCUGACGCAGAGAGCUCGAGCACACUGUCUGAGGUUUGAUGACCUAGAAGCUGGGCAGGGAUGUGAACCCGGGCCGUCUGAUCCCACUGCUGUUGCUUUCUACCUACAUUCCAUUCUCAUAUGGUAGCAGGGAGAUGGAGUCUGCCUCUGAGCGUUCUCUGUGAUGGUCAUGCUGUGCUGGUUGGAGAGCCCUGGGCUGGGGACCAGGAGACAGAAAUGAGGACAUUGAAAUACUUCUUGGGACAGCUGCAUCUUGCAUGUUUAUCUAUUGUUUCCUGGGGGAGGAGACACGGGCUGCUGGAGCCAGGAAGGUUCAGAGAGCUCCAUCUAAUCCCAUAGGAGGCCAAGGAAGGGGGAGGAGUCACAUCGAAAGAGAACUCUUGGCAGAAGCUCUAGUGAACCCCGAGGAAACUCCGCUGCUACGAGACGCCAGCUUGUUUUCCAACUUGGAAGCGCCGCUGGGCCCCUUGGAAAGCAUAGAGUGCGCACUUGCUGGUAAAAUGCACAAGAAAAGAGGGCGUGCGGGUGCGAGUGAGAUCGGGAAUGCUGGGUGCGGGGAGAAUCUUUGGUUUCCAUCUUCCCUGAAGGACCAGACAAGAGAAAGUGGAGUACAUGGCCUCAGGGUAGAAACUGGGAUGCCGCUCAUGCUUCUGGGCCAUACGCUGCAGACUGUCCAUUCAACACCUCCUUGGUGA